rnacentral:lncRNA from 1 species
AAAAAAAAAACAACAACUCCCCCCUCCUAAGUUUAGUGCAUUUAACUCUAUAAAUAUCUAUUGAACACUUACUGGAUGCCAGGCACUUUUCUAGGCACUGGGCAGCUAGCAUUAAACAGGAGGCAGAAACCCCUGCCUUCAACAAAAUCUAUGCUGUGUUGAAUAAGUGAUACAGGGAAAAGCUGAAGAUGGGGAGAGAGGUGGGGAGGGUAUAGAGGAUGGGAAGAAAUUUACAAAAGAGGCAGGGAGGGCUUUACUGAGAAGGUGACUAUGAAGGAAGUGAAGGAAGGGCAUUGCAGGCCAGGGGCUCAUUGUGUGCAAGGGCCCUGGGGUGGAAGUGAUCAUGCAGUGGCGUGAGUGUGGGUUUGAGUAGCAGGUGAUGGUUAGAGGUAAUACGUGGCCACCAAAAGGACUCAGUGGCGGCCGGGCGUGAGCCACCACGCCCGGCCUAUAGUCAUGAUUUUAUUUAUUUAUUUUGAGACACAGUCUCCCUCUGUUGCCCAGGCUGGAGUGCAGUGGUGUGACCUCAGCUCACCGCAGUGCCCCCUGGGUUCAAGCGAUUCUUGUGCCUCAGCCUCCCAAGUAGCUGGGAUUACAGGCAUGCACCACCACACUCAGCUAAUUUUUGUGUUUUUAGUAGAGAUGGGGUUUCGCUAUGUUGGCUAGACUGGUCUUGAACUCCUGUCAUCAAGUGAUCCGCCCG